rnacentral:rRNA from 1 species
GGAAUCUUGGACAAUGGGGGCAACCCUGAUCCAGCGACGCCGCGUGGGUGAUGAAGGCCUUCGGGUUGUAACGCCCUUUCGACGGGGACGAUGAUGACGGUACCCGGCGACGAAGCACCGGCUAACUCUGUGCCAGCAGCCGCGGUAAUACAGAGGGUGCAAGCGUUAAUCGGAAUUACUGGGCGUAAAGCGCGCGUAGGUGGUUGGUUAAGGUGGAUGUGAAAGCCCCGGGCUCAACCUGGGAACUGCAUCCAAAACUGGCCGACUAGAGUACAGUAGAGGGUGGUGGAAUUUCCUGUGUAGCGGUGAAAUGCGUAGAUAUAGGAAGGAACACCAGUGGCGAAGGCGACCACCUGGACUGAUACUGACACUGAGGUGCGAAAGCGUGGGGAGCAAAC